CUCACGAUAAAUCACAACAAUGUUAUUUACAAUGGCACACUACAUGGAAAUAACACGCGAAAUAUAAUUUCAUUACACGAUAUAAUCACACACAUACCGUCAGGUUGAAACUUCACACUUUAAGCAUAAUACAGUACGAUAUAAUCACACGCAUACCGUAUGAAACUUCACACUUUAAGCAUAAUACAGUACGAUAUAAUCACACGCAUACCGUA
rnacentral:misc_RNA from 1 species